GGAAUCCUGAAACACGCAUCCCCUCAGUCAGACAGUUUAAAUGUCAGUCUGACUUACAUUAUUACAUUCAAUAUCUUUCCUUAUUAAUGUGUAGUACGGUGUAGUAGGUGUGUAGUAAAUGUGUAGUAGCCCUGUUGAGUGUUGUAGGUGUGUAGUAAACGUGUAGUAGCCCUGUUGAGUGUUGUAGGUGUGUAGUAAACGUGUAGUAGCCCUGUUGAGUGUUGUAGGUGUGUAGUAAACGUGUAGUAGCCCUGUUGAGUGUUGUAGGUGUGUAGUAAACGUGUAGUAGCCCUGUUGAGUGUUGUAGGUGUGUAGUAAACGUGUAGUAGCCCUGUUGAGUGUUGUAGGUGUGUAGUAAACGUGUAGUAGCCCUGUUGAGUGUUGUAGGUGUGUAGUAAACGUGUAGUAGCCCUGUUGAGUGUUGUAGGUGUGUAGUAAACGUGUAGUAGCCCUGUUGAGUGUUGUAGGUGUGUAGUAAACGUGUAGUAGCCCUGUUGAGUGUUGUAGGUGUGUAGUAAACGUGUAGUAGCCCUGUUGAGUGUUGUAGGUGUGUAGUAAACGUGUAGUAGCCCUGUUGUAUUGUGUAGUAGAGCAGCCAUCUCAGUAGUCAUGUUGAGUGUUGUAGGUGUGUAGUAAACGUGUAGUAGCCCUGUUGAGUGUUGUAGGUGUGUAGUAAACGUGUAGUAGCCCUGUUGUAUUGUGUAGUAGAGCAGCCAUCUCAGUAGUCAUGUUGAGUGUUGUAGGUGUGUAGUAAACGUGUAGUAGCCCUGUUGUAUUGUGUAGUAGAGCAGCCAUCUCAGUAGUCAUGUUGAGUGUUGUAGGUGUGUAGUAAACGUGUAGUAGCCCUGUUGAGUGUUGUAGGUGUGUAGUAAACGUGUAGUAGCCCUGUUGUAUUGUGUAGUAGAGCAGCCAUCUCAGUAGUCAUGUUGAGUGUUGUAGGUGUGUAGUAAACGUGUAGUAGCCCUGUUGAGUGUUGUAGGUGUGUAGUAAACGUGUAGUAGCCCUGUUGUAUUGUGUAGUAGAGCAGCCAUCUCAGUAGCCCUGUUGAGUGUUGUAGGUGUGUAGUAAACGUGUAGUAGCCCUGUUGUAUUGUGUAGUAGAGCAGCCAUCUCAGUAGUCAUGUUGAGUGUUGUAGGUGUGUAGUAAACGUGUAGUAG